UUACGGGAGGCAGCAGUGAGGAAUAUUGGUCAAUGGGCGCAAGCCUGAACCAGCCAUCCCGCGUGAAGGAAGAAGGCGCUAUGCGUUGUAAACUUCUUUUUCAGGGGAAGAAAAUCUUCUACGUGUAGAGGAUUGACGGUACCCUGUGAAUAAGCAUCGGCUAACUCCGUGCCAGCAGCCGCGGUAAUACGGAGGAUGCAAGCGUUAUCCGGAUUUAUUGGGUUUAAAGGGUGCGUAGGCGGAUUAAUAAGUCAGUGGUGAAAACCUGCAGCUUAACUGUAGAACUGCCAUUGAUACUGUUAGUCUUGAGUACGGUCAAGGUAGGCGGAAUGUGUAAUGUAGCGGUGAAAUGCUUAGAUAUUACACAGAACACCAAUUGCGAAGGCAGCUUACUGGGCCACAACUGACGCUGAGGCACGAAAGCGUGGGGAGCGAACAGGAUUAGAUACCCUGGUAGA
rnacentral:rRNA from 1 species